UGUUUUCAAUGUUUGUGUUUUUAAUUUUAACUUUAAUGAGUGUUAUAUACUGUGUCUGACGAUGAUGGGCAUCCACCGAAACAUGUAACAACAAAAAGCAACAAUUUUUGGAUUUGAUGGAAAGCAACAGCAGAGAGAUCAUUUUCUACGCUGAGGCGAUUGAAAAGCUGGAUGAGGACCAGAAUGACCGAAGACCGCCUGACCGGACUGGCUCUCAUGAAUGUUCACAGGGAUAUAGAAGUGGACAUCAAUAAAAUUAUCGAUCGGUAUUCCAGCAAGAAGAAUAGAAAACUGGAUUUUGUAAUUUAAGGGAAAACAACGUAGUUUUUGUUAAGCCAAAGUAUUUUUGUUUUGUUUUAUAAUUUACUUCUAAUGUCAGUAAUUAAAUCAUACUAAACAUAA
rnacentral:lncRNA from 1 species